rnacentral:rRNA from 1 species
AACGAACGCUGGCGGCAUGCCUAACACAUGCAAGUCGAACGAGACCUUCGGGUCUAGUGGCGCACGGGUGCGUAACGCGUGGGAACCUGCCCUUAGGUUCGGAAUAACUCCCCGAAAGGGGUGCUAAUACCGGAUAAUGUCUUCGGACCAAAGAUUUAUCGCCUUUGGAUGGGCCCGCGUUGGAUUAGCUAGUUGGUAGGGUAAAAGCCUACCAAGGCGACGAUCCAUAGCUGGUCUGAGAGGAUGAUCAGCCACACUGGGACUGAGACACGGCCCAGACUCCUACGGGAGGCAGCAGUGGGGAAUAUUGGACAAUGGGCGAAAGCCUGACCCAGCAAUGCCGCGUGAGUGAUGAAGGCCUUAGGGUUGUAAAGCUCUCUUACCCGGGAUGAUAAUGACAGUACCGGGAGAAUAAGCUCCGGCUAACUCCGUG